ensembl:lncRNA
AAUCGUGCUGAGCGUGUCCCCAGGGAAACUCUAGUGCAGGAAGGAGGAUUUCGGCGCCAGGAAUGUGCUGGUCCAGGGUCCAGAGCGAAGAGAGGGGAGAGCCGAGAAGUCUUUACUGAGAGGGAGAGAGGACCCCGCUCUCUUCGCUGUCCCGGCUGUCCGACUGCGGACGGACGGGACUGGGCGCCCUUCCUACAACCCGCUGCCCGGGACCAGGAGCUUCACGGCCCCCACAGUCCUCGCCACAUCAUCCAAGUGUCCGAGGACGACGCACUUUUACCCGUGAGGUGGCCUGUGCUAAACUCACGAAUGCCAAGCCCUGCGUUUCUCCGUGGGUCUUACUUUCGGAGGGAAGAUGAAAACAGAGGGUCCUUGGAAACCCACUUACAUCCCAGGUCCUUCCAGGAACCCUUGGGUUCGUCGCCAAAGAGGGUGGGAACCCAAUCCACGGAAAUAUAUUUAACCUGUCUUUACUUUUUUUGACACUGACACACCCUGAUACCAAAGCCCACGCAUUUCACCGCAGCUCCCAAGGCACCAGACAUAAGUUGCUAAACUCAGACUAAGUUCUCUUUUGAAAGAGAAGGCAUUCAUUGUCUACAUUUUUUAAAAAGAGGAAGGUCUGAUGCAGUCUCUGUCCCUUACCCUUAUUCUUGGUGUCUGAAGCUUUACCCCGCAGUCCUCAAAAUCCGUUCCUACACUGUAAAGUCAGCUUUAUAUAAAAGCAGUGAUGCUCCCAGCGCCGCUGCCAUCUAGGUUGGGCACCAUCGGCUUUAGUUUUGAUAGUUGUUCCCUGUUGUUGCCUUUGUUGUAGUUUUGGCGGGGUGGGGAGGUGGGAAGGGUGCUUGGGGAUGAAUUCUGCUCUUCUCCUCCCACCAGGGUAUGCUUCGCACAUUGCGCAGGGUGGGUAACGGUGGGGCCUCGACCUUUGAAAGGCCCUGCCACAGUGAUGUGCUGACUGUCACCAUCUUGGAAUACUUAAUUGUUUUUUGUUUGUUUGUUUGUUUUUUCAUUUUGCAGUAUGUUAGUUGCUCAGUCGUGUCCGAAUCUUUGCAACCCCAUGGACUGUAGCCUGCCAGUCUCCUCUAUCCUUGGAAUUCUCUAGGCAAGAAUACUGGAGUGGGUAGUCAUUUCCUUCUCCGGGGCAUCUUCCCCACCCAGGAUCAAACCCAAGUCUCCUGCAUUGCAGGCAGAUUCUUUACCACUGCGCCACCAGGGAAGCCUGGGAGACAGACAAAUUAUGUAGCCCGCUUUUCCACUUCCUAGUCCUUCCCCUUAUAUGGCACAAGCACCCAUGCCUGCGCAAACACACACACACACACACACACACACGCAAACUAAUAAUGCAUGUUUUAUUUUGUACUGUUACAUUGUUUAUGUCUUGACCUCUGUUUCUGACCCAAGACAUGACAUUUCAAGGUGAUUUUCUCUUCAAGCCUCUUUCCCAGGGUCGGUAAUGGAGACCUGAAUGUCCUCAAAGGCAUUGUCACUCACUGCUCUAGAAGAGACCUGAGUUUCUUUUGUCUCUGGAUUUGAUGGUGUGAGAAGGUCUGCAUGUGUGUCGGCAGUUUCCGUUUACUUACUUAAAAAGUGGUUCACUUCAUCUAUCCAUCCAUCCCUCCAUCCCUCCUUCCAUCCAUCACAUGUUCCUGUGGAGUCCGACUCUUUGUGACCCCAAGGAUUUAGCCUGCCAGGCUCCUCUGUCCACUGGUUCUCCAGGCAGGAAUACUGGAGUGAGUAGCCAUUUCCUCAUCCAGGGGAUCUUCCUGAUCCAGGGAUUAAACCCACCCACAUCUCCUGCAUUGCAGGUGGAUUCUUUACCACUUGAGCCAUUGUGGAAGCAAUUUCCCUAAUAUACCAGAUUCAGCUAAGCUAGGAGAAGCAUGGGCUUUCCCAGUGGCUCAAC